rnacentral:rRNA from 1 species
CCUACGGGAGGCUGCAGUAAGGAAUAUUGGUCGAUGGACGAAAGUCUGAACCAGCCAUCCCGCGUGCAGGAUGAAAGCCCUAUGGGUGGUAAACUGCUUUUAGCAGGGAAGAAAAGCUUCCAUUUAUGGGGGUCUGACGGUAUCUGCAGAAUAAGCACCGGCUAACUACGUGCCAGCAGCCGCGGUAAUACGGAGGGUGCCGGCGUUAUCCGGAUUUACGGGGUUUAAAGGGUGCGUAGGCGGAGUUUGUGAAAUCUUGUCGCUUAACGAUAAAAUUGCCAAUGAUACUGGUACUCUUGAAUUGGGUUGAGGUUAGCGGAAUGUGACAUGUAGCGGUGAAAUGCAUAGAUAUGUCAUGGAACACCAAUUGCGAAGGCAGCUAACUGGGCCUUGAUUGACGCUGAGGCACGAAAGCGUGGGUAGCGAACAGGAUUAGAUACCCUAGUAGUC